rnacentral:rRNA from 1 species
GAUGAACGCUGGCGGCGUGCCUAACACAUGCAAGUCGAGCGGGAUCUUUUUAAAUGACGCUUCGGUUGAUUUUAAAAAGUGAGAGCGGCGGACGGGUGAGUAACGCGUAGGCAACCUGCCCAUUAGUGGGGAAUAACACAGAGAAAUUUGUGCUAAUACCGCAUAAUGAAUAUUUAAGGCAUCUUAGAUAUUUUAAAGAUUUAUCGCUAAUGGAUGGACUCGCGUCUGAUUAGAUAGUUGGUAGGGUAACGGCCUACCAAGUCGACGAUCAGUAGCCGGACUGAGAGGUUGAACGGCCACAUUGGAACUGAGAUACGGUCCAGACUCCUACGGGAGGCAGCAGUGGGGAAUAUUGGGCAAUGGGCGAAAGCCUGACCCAGCGACGCCGCGUGAGGGAAGAAGGUCUUCGGAUUGUAAACCUUUGUCAACAGGGACGAAACAAAUGACGGUACCUGUGGAGGAAGCCACGGCUAACUACGUG